CCACAGCUGUGUGCACAGAGCCCAGAACAGUAAAUUGUUCAACACUCAAGGCUCUUGGCUGUUUAACUUCUGUUAGGCAGCAGAGGCCAGGAAACAAGUGGAGAACCAGAAGAGGAAGGAAAGCCCCAGGAGCUUCCUAGCAUACACGUUCAACCUUGGGAAUAUGGACAACUGAGUGUUGUAAUGAGGAGCCACAGAGCCGAUGACUCUCUUAAGGAUACAUCCAGAGAAGCUGCGUGACCGGAAAGUGAGGAUCUGCCUUCAAGGAUUCUGAGGCCGCCCUCCUCCCAUCUAGAGCUGACUUCCAGGAGCUGGGACUUCCCCUGCCAUUGCUGAUGCUCCAGGACACCAGAGCCAGCCCAUCUGGAGCGAACCCUCC
rnacentral:lncRNA from 1 species